CAUGUGAAGUGCAUCGCCGUAUACUCCACACCGAACACGAGCCUCCUAUUGGUCGAGAGAGUCACGUGUCGGCGACUACACGUCCGCUACCACAGCAACUUGUUCAUUGUUUUUUAUUGUCACGGAAUCUUGGUCUUCGUUCUGUCGUUGCCAUAGCAAACGAACAAUCGCCUUUCGAUACAAAUAAACAAGCUGUUAAAGGUGUGAUGGCAGAGACAGGUAACAAAAACCGGGGGUGCAAUCACGAUUUACUGACAGAAAUCCAUCAAAAAGUUGAAAGUUCGUGUCAGAAAACGAGGAGUGUGUGAAAAAAGUUUCCAAUUUCGAUAAAAUUCGCGUUUUAAAACUGAUUAAAUCGGAUUAAGUGGACUGAUAAUUUCGCGACGUAGACAUUUAAAAAUGUAGGUGAGAUAGUUCAUCGGUAAAAUCUGGUAGUGCGUGUCGUUUACGUUCCGAAAGAAAGUGUUUCUCGGGUUAAAUGAACCUUUGAAAGUGUCGUGAAUGUCGCAAAGAUGGAAGAGAUCGCCUUCAGCGAUUGGCCGGGACAACCUGUGGAUUUGAACGCUGGAAAUAACCCAUGGUUACCAGCCUAUGGAUAUACGGCGCCGACUACGCUCCUGGAACGUGAGGAUUUCAUUGGGAAUCCAGAUGCCGAAUACUUCCUUCACAGUGGCUUUGGUCAUUAUAUGUAUUUGGAGACCAUUUUGGAAGAGACUUCCGAUGAUCUACGAUCGGAGAGUGACGCCGAUUCUCGGGGAUCCCCCGUGGGCUGGUUAGCGACUGACUCUGAGACCGGAUCUGUAAUCUGCAUCGAACCUCCAGAUGAUGCAGAAUGCGACUCUGACCGCGAACUAGCUUGCCCAGCCAAACGUAGAAAACAAGAUUUUUUUCUAAAUUUGCCAGUUCCCGAAGAAGAUUUAAACUCUUUAAGUCGCUCCAGCAGUUUGCUUCAAUUCGAAACGCUAGAAAAACAAUGCCAAGAAAACUACCCGAGCUCUCCAAGUAUCUAUUCCCAAUUUAGCUUCGAUUCCUUGGAAACCUCCAACCGCAAGAACAAUCUAAGUCCGGAUAGCUUGAACAGUCCGAAGAGUGAAAGCACUGAAGAUGAAACUGAUUACUAUAAAACAUUAAAAAUUGACGUACCCACUAGGGUAAAAAGAAGCAACGAUAGUUUGCUGUUUAGUGCUCACCGAUCUUCUGGAUCAGAUACCAGCGAAAGUGACGUAAUCGACAUUUCGAGGUCGUUUGACAAUCUGAAGCCUUGGAGGAGCUUCGACAGUUUGCCCGUCAUCAACAAAAACAUUCGAGACAAAGUUUCUGCGGAAAAUUUGAGCGAAGACAGUGGAUACAGCGAUCACUUAACGAAAUCUUCGAGUACAAAUAGUUUUAAGUCUAAGGAUGAGGUUAGGGUUCAUACUAUGAAAAAUUAUUCGGAAAGGAAGAGUUCCUAUGUUGGAUUUUCGGCUUAUGAUGGGGAUGUUCUGCAAGAGAAUUUCAACGGCAAUUUCGGCGUAAGCUAUCAAGACCUGACGAUCCUCCGGGACCCCGAUCUGGACAAUCUGAAACCCUCCCCGCUGAUCGAGCAUUUCAUCAAACACAGAAAACAUCGUUCCCUACCAGUUAACGACUCGACCGCCUUGUCAUCAACGAAAACUUUAAAAUUAGACUCCAAACGGGAAUGCGCAUCUAAUUUUAAACCAUCUUCAAGCAGCGAACCCAACAUAUUAACAGUAGUAGACAGUCAGCAAAAUUCAACGAGUAAUAUUUGUGUGUCUAGUGUACCAAAGGACUUGAAUUUCAUUAGUGAUUUUACGAAAAGUGUUUCGAGGCCAAAUAGUGAUUCGGUCGCGUUGAAAAAUUGGAAUUUGGCCGAUUUUCAGCCGGGAAAGUGUAAUGAAACUGACCUAAUCGCCGAAGACAUGGCACAAUACAAAAGAGAAGGUAGUUAUGCCGAAGCUAUCAGCAAUUCACAGUAUAAGAGGGAAGGAAGCUAUGCGGAGGCUAUGGCUAAUAGAGUUGAUCUCAGCGAUGACGAACAUAGUUUGUACAACAGGAAAAAGCCAAAAUUGCCUAAAACACCUAUAGUGGAAUUCGAUAAAAAAGUACUUAAAGCCAUCUCCGAACAAAGUUUGCAAAAUAGCAACCAAAACCUACAAGAAACUAUCAUCUACGUACCAACACCUGUUUUCGUAACUCCACAACGAAAUGUAGUUAGUACUCCAAAUUUAGCAAUCGACAAAAUGGAACCAGAUGAUGAAAUAUGUUACGAAGAUGAACGCACAAAAUCAUCUCUAGACUUAGCCCGAAAAGGCAGUAUCAUCAAAUCUAGCACCAGUACCAGCGGCUUAUCAGACGCUGAUGAUAAACCUCUGGCCUCUGUUCGCAGUUUUACCGGUUCUACCAACUCUAAAGGAGUUCACUUUUCUCCGGUAGUAUCUGAGGUGAACUGGAAAGAUGACUCGGUGUCUACUGUUACACCGGAUCGGGAAAGUAGUUAUAGCUUAGGUAGCUCUUCGCCUGAUAGGAGUUCGCCUCCCAGGGAGUUAAUUAAACCUAAGGCAGUGCGGUUAACUUCUUCGCAACCGGAUCUAUCUGAUGAUAGCAGCAAGAAGGAGUUUAUAACCAAUUUGAAGAAGUUUAGGGCGGAAGUUAGUAAGAGCCAGCCAGAUGUGGCCAAAUUUAGGAGAAGAGGCAGCCAACUGAUAAAGAAGGACAAGGACGGCACGGUGGUCAAAGCCUACAUAGACCGCGAUGGUAUUCAAUACAAACACACGCACUUGGACAUCGGCAUGGGCUUUGGUCACAACACUCAAACUGCAACAGCUGCUCAGCCCCACUAUGUCGAAAAACCAUUCGAAACGAGCUUCAGCGGCGCAGGACAGCAUAAGAGCGCUUUCAAAUCGGUCUCGGCUUCUUCAGUCAACAACAUGGAAGCGCGCGAUAUACACCGCGAAGUAGCCCAUGCGCAGAAAGAUGCGAAACAAUCGAAAGCGUCGGGCAAGCUCGGCGGGUUUUUCUCGAGAUUGGCGAGUUUCCGGUUCAGCUUGAGGAAAGGGGCGGAAGAAAAGGCGAAAUUGAAGAAGAAGAAAAAUGAGACUGCCUUGACAGGCGCGGGACAUGUGCCAGGCACGAUAAUGACUCCCCAGCAACGCGUUGCCACCAAAUCAGAUUACAUCUACAUCCCCCUGAAAGGUCCCACGUCUCCAAACAAUCAAACGCUCUCUGGUAGCGCUCCGUUCAACAACAACGACGCCUCCCCUAAAUCCAACUCUGUCACGUCGAAACCGCCGCUGCCCAAACAGCCGCCUCGCGUCGUCCACGCAAGUGUCAAACCGUCGGCUGCCGCCUCCAGCGCGGCGGACAGGCAACAUCGCCCAGACACGCGACAACAGCGCAGGCGGACUAUCGAUUCCACGUCUGGUGGUUGCCCACUGCCAAUGGAGCCCAUGGGGCUUAUUGAAACCGAUUUAGAUACGGAAAUUACCGUUAUUACGAGUGGUGCCAAUGUGAAAACUAGAAGUUUGUUGGAUUUGGGGGCUCAACCCCAUCGGUUGACUUUGGCCAGGGGGGACGGCGAACAAGGUCCCGAACACCAUCCCCAAAACAGACCGCACAAGUCCAUGGAGUUUCUUCUGGAUAAACAGAAUCUCAAGGUCGUCGAGCCGCCUGAAAAUGAACUCCAAAAAGGGGAGAGAGUAAUGUCUGAACACCAACUUCGGGUCCAGCGUUCCCUACAAAAACUAACAAUUCCCGACUGGUACAAGCAAUCACCGGUACCCCGCGAAGGUUUCCUACUUAAAAAACAAUCCCCACGCGAAACACGAUGGAACGGCACAGGAAGCAAAACGACAUCUUUGAGCAGUCUAGGAUCAAAUACAUUUUCACCCAUUCUUUCCCCGACCCCGCUAAGUCAGCCUUUUGUACGGUGGUCAACGUCGAAGCUAAAUUCAACAGCGUCGUCACCUUGCGCAUCGACGAGGUCUAGUUUUAACACAAGGCAGCCCAACGGAAGCAUCUCGCCCUCUUCAGUUAGAUCUAGCUUCAGCUACAGACAGCCUUACUUAGGUUGGAGGUCACAAGAGCGUCUCAGCAGACCUAGAACGCCUGCGGAACGACUUGCCAGCUCGCUGUUAUCUGCCCAGGGCACCCCUCCACCACAACCACAAGAGAGUCCGGAGAUACAGACCUCCAUCAAGGAAGUGACGUCGGCUAUCGUGCACUACGUCAGCGGACUGAGGCCAGAAGAUGCUAGAGAUAGAAGUUACGAUAGCCAAGAAACUGCUAGUCAAAGAUCUAGUUCGGUGAGCCCUAGGGGUAGUCAGAAGCUCUGUUGGUUGGAGAGCAGUUUUGUAGGGACAAGACCGUUGGAUUCACCACAGACGCCUGUGACUUUAUCCGAAAGCCAAAGUCAUACACCGAUUUCAAGUACGAAACUUAGGCUAGAUUUACAAACGCAUAAUGGUAAGUCGGUUACAGCUUCUUCGUAAGUAGGGCUUAAGGAGUGCUAUAGAGUUUCAGUAAGCUUUGCUACAAAAUCUUCGUUUUAACUUUCUAUAAUUAUUAAAUUACUGUUCGGGCUUUAAGUUUUAAAGUUAUAAAUCUUGGAUUCAUUAAGGAGUAGCAAGAAAUGUUACAUUAGAUAUUUAUUUAUUCACAACACAAUUUUUUAUUAUUUUUGUUAUUCAUUUAGUGAAUUUUAAGGAAAAUUUUAAAGGUAAAAACGGAGAUUUUAUUAGCUGACUGGAUAUUUUUAAAAUGUAAAUUCUUGUCAAACAGUAAACAAACAUUAUUUAUUUCGUGUGCGUUCUAAAUAAUAUGUAAAUUUUAAUAACAAUUAAUUAAUAUUUAAAUCGGAAUAGAAUCAGAUAGUAUCGAUGUUUAUUUUUAACAAAAUUGGAUAUUUUUAGUUCAUUGCUGUAUUUUUAUUCAUUAAUUUAUUUAUGAAUGUAGUACUAUGAUAAAAACUGCGAUUUAUUACUAGUACUCUUAUUCCCAGUAUUAUUUCUUGGAGUUCAGUAUUAAACAAAAAUCUUUUUAAAUAUAUUUUGCAAUAAAAACAAAGAUCAUUUUAACAUACUAAAAAUAGUAAACAAUAAUUCAUUAACUAGAUUGAAAAUUAACUUGUUUGCUGUCAAAACUAGACAAGUGACAUGUAAACAAUUGUACACAAAGUUAAAUACUUUUAGACUAUCAUAUAGCCGACCUUCAUUAGUGGAGAAGGUCCUAGUACAAGAAGAAGAAGAAAAGACAUUUAAUGACAUUUGGUAGUUGAAAGUCUAGGAAACAAUAAGUAAGCCAAAAUCAUUAGAACUCUGCUAAGCUCAUCAGAUUCCAGUUGAAAAUAUUCAUUUUUACCUAUGGUUAUUCGAGUUUCGACUCAACAUAAUUUUUAUUAGUGAAUGAUGAGUCUCGCACUUAAAAGAAAGAUUUCCGAAUCAGUUUAAUGAGUCCCUCACCUCGAAUUACUGAAAAUCUUGAAUCUGGAAAUCAAUAAUUGUGCCACACUAAUUGUGUUUUUAAUGACAUCUACCUUCCUACCUUUUUAUUCUUUACCAACCUUGUUUUUAAACAUAAUUUGCUAGUCACAAAUCCAAUAGUACAAAAGACAAAUAUUACCAGUUUGCUAAUAAAUAAAUAUCACCUACAUCUGUUUGUUAUCCAUCGAAUUAAAUAAUUUUAUUGUUAUUUUGAUUUACUUUGGCAAUGAGUUUACAUUUUUCGAGUUUACUAUUUGUCUGUAUUUUAAAAAUGUUAUAUUUUACUACGAAUUUUUUUAUUCUAAAAGACGAAUCUAUGGAGUCGUGAUAUUUUAUUGAUGGCAAUAAUCUACAGAGUGUUAGCGAUGCAAAAGGUUUUCUUAUCUCAUAAGUAGUGGUCAGUUUUAUAUUAUAUGUAUUUAAUGAUAAAAACCGUGGAAAACCAAAAUAGUAUGUUCUUUUUAUACUAAACAGUAUCUAUUAAUAUUAAAGAAAUUGUAAUUCUAAUUUUUAUAACUAUUUUACGCUACCAAAUUUUUAAUUUUUACAAAUUUUAGAUUAUCGGUUACCUUUAUCUACAUAAAUGUUGUUUAUUGUUUAUUUUAUAUUCAGUCUGUGUAAAUAACUUGUCAUUUUUUUGUCAAAUUUUCCUCGUUCUUUUAGUUAUUGCGUCCACGUUGGGCGCCAAUUUGUAACUUAAUUAAAGUUUUAUUGAUUCUUAAGAAGUCAGAACUUCACAAAAAGAUACAAUACUAAACGGAAUAUGUAUGUUACACAAAAUCCAAGAAAUGUUUAAUCACUUCAACAUUAUAAACUAUUUCGAGUAAAUAAAACUUUUGUAUGUGCAGUCGAGAGUUAUUUGGAGAAGUUUGUUAAUCUAGAGGUAGUUAGCUCUGUUCUUACUGUCUCAGUUCUAUGGAAAAUGAAGUUGGGUGUAGCAGCGAUGCACUCUAUAUAGUUAUUAUAAUUAAUACGUACGCAGAAUGAUUAUUUACAUAGACAAUACAUAGCGGUAAUAGGAGUACAGGUAAUCAAUAAUUUAAUAGUUUUUAAAAUUGAUGAGUAGCGUUAACUAUUUAUGAAAAGCCAAUGUUCAUGUUACAAAACGUUAAGACAAUAAGUUAUUUAGCUGUCAACAAUAAUUGCUACAAUACUAAAACAGAUUUAUUUACUUCUGUCUCAUCAAAUCAAUAUAUUGAAAGGAUUAACCUAGUAGCUCCCCUGUUUAGCGAAUAUGCUGUAGUGAUUUCAGUUUAUUUAUACACCAGAUAUAAAACUGACCAUUGCUACGUGCUAUUUUAUGUUUUUUGUUCACAUCCCUGCCUUACAGUUUCACGCCUUCUUCUUGGCGAAAAGGUAUUAAAAACGGUUAAAAAUUUUAAAUUUUAGACACUAAUUUAAAUAGCUACUGUAAAUGAUGGAAUAUAUAAAGAAAAUGGAGUAAUUUUUAGGCUAUUACGUAUCGUUUCAUUAUGGUAACUACACAGGCUCUACAUCGUUACAGAAAAUUGUUUUGCGAUGUUGCCAUUUACAUAUAUUUAUGUAAAUUUAGGUAAUAAUUCUAUGUUGAUGGAAACAACAAUCCUUAAAAUAUUUGGUUUUCUUUUUUAUACAUUUAUUUUAAUACCUUUUCGUCGGUCAUUAAAUGCAAAAAUUUAGUUAGAUCUGCACUUUUAAUUUAUAUUUUUAGUUUUCUGUGUCUAGGUAUUUUGAAUUGUUAUGAAUGUUCUGUCAUUUUUAUUUAUGGUGCUACAUUGUAUUUUGUGUUUUAUGUAUUAUUUUUAUUUUUUUUUUAAGCUUAGCGGGCGGUUGUGUUUGUUAUGUGACAUUUCAUUUAAUUUUCGAGUUAAGGUAACCAUUUUUAUAUGUUUAGUUUUCAAAAACUUGAAAAUAUUUCAAUAAAGAUACAGUUACUCUAUAAUAAUAAAGUAACAUAAUUACAAUCGUGACCAAUAAUUAGGUGUAGUUGGGUAAAAUUAGCCUAACGUACAUACUAUUCGCCAUUUUACUAAUUACUCAAAUUUUAAAAUUUCCUCUCGGUUGUGAUUGGAAUUUGAAUGUUAUUGCACCAUAAUGUAGAAUUUCAUCCCUUUACCGAGUCUUCUUGAUUAAUAUGGACGUCAAACUGUUUCAAUUGGUAAAGUUUUUGAGCGUCUAGUUUAUGAAAAGUUAAUCUGCCUACCGACCAGUUUACUUUCAAAUACUUUACAGAGUACUAAAGACUGUCAAAAUUAAGAAUGACUUUGAAAAUUAAGUAGGAGAUAUAACUCGACCUUUUAACUACAUUUAAAACCACGUAUUCGAGUCCCGGCGUUUAUUCAUCUCUUUCUCUUCGAAUACUUUCUCCAUCUGCUCUCUGUGUCAAUAAGCAAAAUUUCGAUUCCUAAUGCUGGAUUCCGUGCACUGUAGAUAUCUACACGUCGCUUUCUAUCGAUGUCAAUUUUCGUAAAAAUAUUUGAAGUUUUAGCUUUAAUUGAAUUAUUUUCUAGUUUUAAUAGGUUAUAAUCUAAUUGAUGUUAAAGUGACACUUAAUAAAACAAGAAAAUAUUUGAAUUAAAACUAAAAAUUAAAAUAUAUUGACAUCGCGCUGAUCGCUUUCUAUGAAUGUCAAUAUAUUUGAAUUUUUAGUUUUAAUUCAAAUAUUUUCUUGUUUUACUAAGUGUCACUUCAGCAUCAAUUAGAGUAUAACCUAGCAAAACUAGAAAAUAAUUCAAUUAAAACUAAAAAUUCAAAUAUUUUUACGAAAAUUGACAUCGAUAGAAAGCGAGGUGUAGAUAUCUACAGUGCACGGAAUCCGGGCCCUAGUCUUGACGAGUACAAUAGUAAUAGACUUGUAAUAGCUAAUUUUCUCCUUUUGGAAAAUCACUGUGGUCAAUAUAAAAUCUGGAUUACAUCUGGUACAUACAAAACAAGAUUAAAUAACGGUGUUCUUACGUUCAGUAGAAGAUGGGUUAAAUAAAAUAGAAGUAGGUAAUUAUUCUGGUGUACUCUAGCUAUGGUUAUUAAAUAACCAUUGUAAAUAAGUGUUCAAUUUUGUUCAAUUUGUGUAAUCAAUGUGCACAUUGAUCGUGUUAUUCAAACGGAAUUUAGUGUGCACCAGAUUCUGCGUGUUAUGUUGAAGCUAGUAGGUCUUUUGGUUGAGGAGGGCAUAUUUUUGUUGGGUUUCCUAAACAAUUCCUGUGGUUUUUGUUCGUUGUUUUCCAGAGCGGAGUCGAUUUUUGUUUGCGCUCCAAAAGAAUGUAUUGGUAGUGUUGUGUUAUUAAGUAUCUUUCUGUAUUCAUUUGUCAGAAUCUCGAGCCCGCGAAGAUAUGACAGUGGAAUGUUGCUGUAUAGUUGUAGACUGAGUUUGAUUACUCCAGAGUGUCAUUCUCAUGAUAGCUACACCUACAGAUGGGUACAUGACAGCUAUUAAUUCAUACUGGUGAUUGCACCUGAAACUUGAGUAAAGAAGCCGGUGCUCCUCAUACCAAAAACCGAGCCUCAUGGUGAUUAACUUCCUUGCAACUUAAGUUUGGCCUCUUUAAAGCUUACCGUUUUAUCUGAUGUCACGCCGAUGUUGAAACAUAAAAUAUUGUGUAAAAACAUUGUUUGUAGAAGCCAUUGCGCAAUUACAAAUUAAAUCCCUUUAUAUAUUUUAUAUCCUUUAAAUAUAUUUUAAUUUAUUUGUAAGGUUAUUUCCCUUCCAGCAAUAGUAGAUGGUAAAACUAUUUCACAUCGUCAAAUGAGAAGUCCGGACAUAAAGCAUUUAAUUUGGUCCUUUCGAGCCGGAUUGAAACCUUAAAUCGCUGGUUUAUAUCCGACUCGAAUAAGGGGUUUAAUUUUUCAUUGGCCAGUCAGAUACUAAUUUCUACGGUGCUCAAUGUUUCAUUGAGAGGAUUUUCAAAUGCUAAAUAAAAAAGAUGUUGAAUUAAGAAGCAACUAUUUUAAGCAGAAUCUUUAAGGCUUUUAUUCUGUUAGCUAUAUCUGGAAAUAUUUAUUCGUAAUGAUAGUUUUAAACAACUAAAAAAAAUAAUGGACUGAUAAAGAAUGGCGUAAGGUUAUCUGAAUGUUGGAAUUUUAAACAGAAUUUUUUUUGUCCAAAUUUUGUCUUCUCUAAAUAGGUUGUCAUCAAGUUUCUAGUUCUAUAGGUUACUGUCUAUGAAGGAAUGUUCAAAGAAUAAAGAAAGGUAGUUGAAGUCGUGUGUUGUCUAUACAUUUCUCAAUAAUAUAUCAACUUAUAGCAACUUUGAAACUUACCAAUUAUUUGAGAAGUAUUAACUAGUGGCUUUCUAGAUUUCCUUUGUUAGUUUUGCUUCUGUUGCGCAUGUCUAUAUAUUUAUUAAAGGUAUUUAUAUCACAAUAUUAAGGUACCAGGCUUGGUCACAAUCAUCACCAAUCAGCCCUUUGCAUCCACUGCUGGAUAUAGGCCUCCCCUAUUUCCGUCCACUGUUUUCUGUCCUGGGCGCUUUGAAUCCACCAGACUUUGUAUUUAUAGCAAAACGAAUAUUUUUUAAGAAAUAGAUCAUUUUUUACAUUUACAUAUUUUGUAUUUAUUUUAUCACCAGUGACAAUCUGGAUCAACUUUUUUAAAUUUAUUUACGACAUGUAUUUUAAAACAAAUUGGUAAAACAUGUAAAAUUAAAUGAAAUGUCUCAAUGAAAACGCUUCUUGUCACCUCACGGUUUACGGAGUUUGGUAAAUUGUGACGGUUUUGAUAAUGCCUGUUGACGAGUAUUUUUCUUUUUGUAGGGUGAAAAAAUAACGCGAACUUAUGGUUCUAUUCAAAAUACUUAACUUUAACGAAACUGCUCAUGCGAUUUACGAAAAAAUAUAUAUUUUUUGUAUAACAUAUUUGUCCUGUACUAAUAAAUUCAUUAUAUACAGGGUGAACCAGUUGGGCCUAAUCGACUAAAAGUGUUAUUGCUAUAAAAUGUGUUCUUUUGGAACAACAGUGGUUAUCUCUUUGAGGGUUUAAAACAUAUUGGUGCAUGCUGAUAUAUUUCUAAUUAUGAUUUUAUUAGUAAACAUUAAUUGGACAUAGAAUGAAUAUUUAAAUAAUCACUGUCUAUCUAAUCCAAUUAAAAUUUAAAAAUAACUUCAAAUGUCACCAUAACCUAAAUUCAAUAAUUAUAAAAUUCAAAGAAUUUCAUUAGUUAUCUGAUCACCAUUUGAAAUCACUAAUAAUCAAAGAAAGAAAAAUACAAUACUUGGGCCAUGUUUUGAGAGGAGAAAGAUAUGAACUACUUCAAAUCAUAUUAGAAGGUAAAGUACAGGGCUACAUAUCAGUAGGAAGUCGCCCUUCGAAAGUAAACGGCGCAAUUAAAGAAGAUAUAUUUCUACUUUCUUGUUCCAAAAGACUUGUUCCAAGUGUUUAUGUUCAAUUACAAGACACAGUUUCUAUUCUGAAGCUCUUUCGAUUUGACAGGCUUUGGACUGAAAUUUUUAACGUGAGUCUGCAGUUCUUUUUCUCAUUUUGAGCAUCUUGGAGACAAAAGUAUUAGCUUCUUUCUCAGCAAAACUAUCAGCAAGCUUGUUUUCAUCAAGUAUUGCUGAAUAUUUCCGAACUAACAUAGCAAAAUCUCACUGAUAGUACUUCUACAAAAAUUGAUAAGUAAGAGAAACUUCAAAAGUUUUUGCUCAGCUUGUUAAGAGAAUUAGAAGAGCUCAAUUUCUAUCAAUUUAGUUUUGCUGCUACAAACAGGCGAGAUCUUACAUUCUUUUCAAAGUAGGGAUGGACCCAAUACUCCUGAAUUCUGCAAACCCUGGAAUCCUCAUAGUAAUCAACUAUAUCCUCCUCGUCGAAAAUCCACACAGUAAAACUACUGCACUGCUCAAAUAAAUAAGCACAACUGAACCAGAAUCAGUCGCUUCUUAGGUGGAGGGUUUUCAUUUAGAUCAUAAACUGGUUUUAAACCGACUGCAGAUGGUAGACUAAUUUUAAAAUGUUGUUUUUAAACAGUUACCGACCUAAGACUUAAAUGAUCACUUUAGUACCUAACCGUCACAGGAACAUCAACGGAAAAGAAGAAGAACUGGUGGAUACAUGUAAAUAUCUGAAACAUAAAUAUUAUUAUUAGGAUUUUCAGAGAUCCAAACACAUGAAUUGAAAAGACGAAUAUAUCUUGGAUGGGCAACAUAUAUGGAAAACUACUAACGACUAACAUCAAAAUGGUAACGGAGGUUGGGUACCAUGUUCCAUUUCCAUACCAUAUUCAGCUUCGUGUCGGGCCUGAUGUCUCCAUGCAUUUUCUAUAUCCCACACCGUUUUCUUGGGUGGUCGAGGUGCAAGAAACCUCGUCCUUCGACGUUUUCUCUUCCAUUUUCGUCUAUUUCCAUCAGUUGCUAUGGUUUCCCCUGGUCUAGAUCGUGGUAGAGGAGUUGCAACCCCCCGAUGAUCGGGUUGAUUAAGUUGAAACACUAAUUACCGGAAUAUAUUUAUUUAAGUCACCAUGUACGGCAGUAACUAGUUGGUGUAAGGGAUGGAUAACGUCUCUUCUCUAACAACUUCGGUUUUUGAAUAAUAAAUAAUCUCUUUCUUUACUUCCUACGUAUCUAUAAAUAAAUCGCAAUUGUUUGUUAUGAUUGACUAUACUUGAAUGUGACCGUGAAUUACUAAUAGCAGUAUAAUUGCUGACUUCGGUGUUUUCAAAAUGCGUGGCCUAGAUUACAAAACCAAUGUCACCCAUUUACGAAAUCCAAACAAUGCAUGUAAAUAAUAUUUGCUUAAGACUUUUAAAAAUUAAGUCGAUAUGGAUUAACUCUUAUUUUUUGGAUUCUAAUAUAAAUCCUUUACACCGAGUUCAGUUAAUCGUGUGGUUGGCGAAUCCACGACACAGAAACUCUAGGGAAAUCUAUCUACCUGGUUAUUUGUGAAAUUAAAAUGAGCCUAAACAUCUUUAAAAAUAAAUUAUUUUUAAAUAUCAACGAUUCUGCACUCCAACCUAUAGAGAGUUUUCUAUAUCUCUAGAUAGAUGUCGCUAACGUGUCCGUACGUAUUUAAUAUUUUAUUUAUAUGCAUACUUCGAUAGCUUGGAUUCAGUUCGCUUCAGGAUACACCAUUUAAUCUAAAGCUGCCUUUCCUUAAUGUUAUACACCCUGUCAAAGGUGUUACUGUUGUCCAAAAUAUAAAAAGUAUCGACAUGAUUUGUAUCACAUGCACAAGUAAAAGCACUUUUUAGUUGAUUAGGCAAGGUUGCUAUGUUUUUAGGGUUGUGGUAGCAGAAAAAAUAGAUUAGCGGUUACUAUGUUAACAUUGAUAUUUGUUUUCAUUGUGAAAUAACAUUUUGUAGAACAUUAUUUUAGUGGAAGCAAGCAUGAUAUUUAAUGGUAUGAAUAAAAAUGGAGUAUAAACUCACGAGUAUGUUCUCAUGUAUAUGAGCAUAAAGUAUAAGCGUGUAUAAGUUUAUUCUCUAUUUCAUAUGAAUAAAAAUAUUUUGAUGUGAUGAGUUUCUACUCACAGUACAUAAGAGUAGAUGGAGUAUAUACUCCAACAUUUGGAGUAUAAACUACAUUCUCAUUUUUAUUCAUACGAGCCAAUGUGUCUAGAUAUAGAUUAUUCGAAUUUGUGUCUAGGUAUACAUCAGUCGAAUUUUUUAGAUUCUCAUAUUGACGUCAAUAAUAGGUACUUUUUAGUUUUGAUUGGUAUUGGAAUUUUAAGUAUUGAUAAAAUAGUAAUCAUUUACUUAUACUAAUGAUGAUAUAUCACCUAUAUUUGGAGUGCCAUUUGACAUUAUCGGAAUUCCAUUGUAAUAGUCAUCUGAAAAUUUGUCAUGAUUUUGGUAAUCUCUUGAUUCUCUCUAUUCUUAGGUGCCCUUUCUUUUUCUGCUGAAGCUUAUAAGAAAGUGUCGACAAUUAUUUGGUUUUUUUUUUGUAUUGAAUUUUAACAUUUACCGUGGUAUUCGUUUUGGAUCCCCUUUUUAGUUAUUUAUUGCUUAACUAGUGGUUUUGUGAUACUACCAACUAACACUUUCAUGUGAUUCGUGUCCGUAGUUUUUAAUUAGUGACCGAUACUACCUUUCUGACUUCUUUUCUAUUUUCCAAAAUUCUAUUUUGGUUAUCUAUUUAUUUCGUAGUUUAUAUGUCGUUUUGAAAAGGUCUUAUGGUAAAGAACUGACUACGAAAAGAAAGAAAAAGAUGGAAAGACAAUAAAUUACACUGGAUCAAGUGAAUAUUUUGGAUAGAAAGGCUAAAAAGCGGUUCUACUAUAAGCUAUUAUUAUUCAAAUAUUGCUGUGGACCCCAAUAUUAGGUUCAUUAUUAUAAGAUCCUAGUUAUGUCUGGGAAAUGAUGUUUGUUAAUUCCAAUAAUUUAUAAAUCGAAUAGAAAAUUGUGAAAAGUGUACUCGUCAAAUGUUUACAAUUUUUUAUGCUAUACUUGUGUACCAAUUUCUACCAAUUUCUUUAAAACGUAAAACAUUUGACCAAUGUGUUUUGCCCGUGAUGACUUAUGGUGCCGAAACUUUGACAUUGACAGCUACAACUUCUAAAAUGCUGCAAAUCGCUCAGAGGAAAAUGGAAAGGUCAAUGCUGAGUAUAUCGCUUCGUGACCGAGUUAGAAAUGAAGACUUAAGACGAAAAACAGGAGUUACCGAUGUAAUUUCCCGAAUUGCUACCCUGAAAUGGCACUGGGCCGAACACGUCGCCCGAAUCAGUGAUGGGAGAUGGACGAAGAGAUUACUUGAGUGGAGGCCGAGAUUAGACAAAAGAAGUAGAGGAAGACCACCUACUCGUUGGACUGACGAUCUCAAGAAAAUGUAUAGAAAUUGGAUGCAAAGUGCUCAAAAUAGAGCACAAUGGACAAAAAUGAGGGAGGCCUAUGUGCAGCAGUGGACGCAAAGGGUUGGAUGCUGAUGAUGAUGAUGCUUGUGUUGAAUAUGAAACCAAUUUGGACUUGUUUUAGGCCAAUAAGCAAUUAUAUUCUGACCCAAGAUUCUUUUUCUUCUUCCUCAGCUUUUUCCUUUUAAGGAGUUGCUGUUCUCUUUCCAGUGGCCCUACAGUCCGAAUCGAGCCAUGGCUUCUUCCAAACUAUACCUCCAACCUUGCUGGUCCCUAGCCAACUUCCGGCUAGCAAAUUUUGCGCGUCCGCUGACACAUCAUCCUCCCACCUUUUCCGUUGCCUUCCGUUUGGUGUUGCGACCUGCAUUUUAUAUAUAUUUUAGCCUCCAUUUUCACUAUAUAACCAGCCUAUUGAAGUUUAUGGUUGUACCUGGACCUCUGUACAAUGUUUUCGUUAAUAAGUCCAAAUACGUUCCUUGUCAGUUUUCUUUCAAAAGCUUUCUUUUUAUAUUUUCUGUCAUCACCCAUGUCUGCAUCCACAACUCGCAUGCAUAACCUUUUCCGUGGCCUUCCGUUUGGUGUUGCGCCCUGCAUUUUACAUAUAUUUUAGCCUCAAUUCUCACUAUAUAACCAGCUUAUUGAAGUUCAUGGUUGUACCUGGACCUCUAUACGAUGUUUUCGUUAAUAAGUCCAAAUACGUUCCUUGUCAGUUUUCUUUCAAAGACUUCCAGCUUUUUUUUAUAUUUUAUGUCAUCACCCAUGUCUGCAUCCAUAACUCGCAUUAUAAUGUUUUCGUUAAUAAGUCCAAAUACAUUCCUCAGCACUUUUCAUUCAAAGACUUCCAGCUUUCUUUUUGUAUUUUCUUUCAUCACUGAUCACCCAUGUCUGCAUCCAUAACUCGCAUACUAUUGGUCUGAUAAAAAUUUUUAGACCCUAAAUUUUAAUCUCCAGUGUGUGUUUUUGAAGCGGAAUACAUGAGUGAAAAGCAAGCUUUAUUUCCCUUUACUAUUAUUCUUUAAAAUGUCCUGUUCUUCUGUUUUAUGCAUUUCAACUCUCAGUUAUGUGAAACUUUCUACUAUUUCGAUAUCGUCCUCUAAUUCAACUGGGCGUCUGUUUCCCCUAGCUCUUGCCUGUGUUAGCUUUUUUGUCUUUCGAAUAUUUUUAUUUCUAGUCCGGUCUCUGUUGUCCUUGUCUUUAAUUGUGAAUAUACUUCUUGCGUUCUGCGAGACAUAAUGCCGAUAUCAUCGGUAUAGACGGCAAUCUGUAUUGAUUUACUUGUUAGGAGUUUAGCUUCUCCUAUAUUUAACUUAAAAUAUCUUAUCACAUAUUCAAAAGACAGGAUUUUCUGAAGAGUCAUGGAUUAACACAACUUGAUCGUCAUUUUAAAUAAUCUUCUGUUCGUUGAUCUACAAAAAAAAACGCUGUGGAACGGUAAAUAAAAAUUAUCCGAAAAAUAUGGUUUUAACAGUUGCGGCAGUUGUUCUUUUCAGUUAGUCAGAUUUUGCCGUUUCCAAAGUCCACUAAAAAUGACCCCUAGCCUAUUUUUUGCUACUACUUCCCUAAAUUGACAUUAACAAAUGAUAGAGUUUAUUUUAUUUAAUUUAGUUCGUUGUACAGAUUAAUUUUUAAAGUAUUUAACUCAUCUAGGUAUAAGAAGAAUUUAUUAUAUAUGUAUACAAUCUUAGUAUAGCCUGAGUGCAAUUUUUUGUACUUUGUUGUUUUUCCAGUGUUUAUAAUAUUAUUUUAUUAUUUUUGUUUAUUAUGUGUUUCGUAUCAUUUAUUUUAUGCAUGUCUGUAUAAACACAUAGAAUUCAUCAAUAAAUUGUUUUAUUUUCUCAA
rnacentral:misc_RNA from 1 species